AUGGAGCUGAAUCUCAGCGGUUCUUUGAAACACCUACUGAGGGAUCAACAUGCUACUUACUUUUGCAAGAAAUUGGACAACAGCAGAAGAGAUGCAGGCCUUCAGCAGAUGGAGUAUGAUGACAGUUGGCAGGUGUGCAGUUUCAAGAAUACAACACUCACUAUCAAGGUGGCCAGCUGAUCUGUUUUCAUUCUCCUUCUGAAAAUGGGUGUGUGCCCAAAUAGCUGUUUUUGGUCUGCAGCUGGAAAAUGCAGCUUGAUCCGGCCCCGAUUUUUAGGAUUUUUUUCUUUCUAGAAAUAAUAUCUACCUAAAACUAUUGCCAGAAAGGUAUCCCCCACUGGCCCUGUCCUGUAACUUCUCCAGGAGCACCAUUUCUUCCUGCCAAAUGUUAAAGAUGCACUUUCACAUCACACAGCCUACUAUUACACUUUCUUUAUUAAUAAAAAGCAACAGCAACUUCUUCCGAAACAUUUGCAGUUUGCAUUUCUUGUUCUCACAACAUACUGGAAAAGGUCAGCAGCCCACCAUCCGCAAGCAAGCAAGCAGCAUGUCCCCUUAUUAGAAAACACUCCUGUAUGAUCCAGAAAUUAUUAGGUAUUAGUGGUAAGUUUAGGUAGGUAGGUAGUUUUUCUGAGAAUGAGCCUUUGCUGUUUGCUGGAAUUCCUAUAAUUAUUAAUAACAAUAAUCUUUUAAAAGUAUUAUUUUGAUGAAAGAGAGGAGGGAGGAGAGAUAAGAGAAGAAGCUAAAGGCUUUAGUAGAGGCUAAGGGUGACUCAAAGCUCAGAGCAACCGUAAAAGAAAAGCACACCUACAAACACUGCACAAAACCCAGCCAACUACCCACCCACACUUCCCAACUCCCAGUCCCACUAAAUAAAGAAUCCAGAAAAUAAAGGAAAAUCAAAAGGAUUCAGUGCUAGAGAGAGGCCAAGUCAAGCCAAAAGCUAAAGCUGAGAGAAAGCAGCGGCAAGGCAUUCGGACUGAAACACCUCUCUCUAGACCAAGGACGCAACUGAGCAAUGGAGGUGCUUGUCCUACUAAAAACACAGCUUGUGUAAGACACAUCAUGGCUGUUUCUUCUAUUCUUAUUGGCCCAACAGGCAGGGCUCACAGGGAAACCUAUCAGCAUGUCACAUGAUCCCAAAUAGAGCAGAAGGAGUCAUGACUGGCAGCCACAUGAUCUGGCUAAGUCAAAAAAAAAAUGGUGGCAGAGCUCUUGCUGUUAUGGGCAUCUGAACAAGUUGAAGAAGCUGAAGGAAAACGAAUCUAUGUACAAAUCCAAUGAUUGGUCCUCAUAGAAAAUUCCUGCAACGGGUUGGUUGCACAGAAGUACUCCAUUUGUGGAAACCAGGGAAUGGAGGGGGAGGAUCUAAAGUACAAACCAAAGAUAUUUCUUUUCAUUCCUUCUCUUAACUGGAAAUCCUGCAGGGUGAUCUAAACAUUUACCACACCAUGGAGUUAUGGGGCCUUCAGGGCUGCAUUUUCCAGGGUCUACUAGUUACUGCCUACCUUGGCUACAAGGAUUUGGGACUUGUACUCUAAAAAUUAAGUCUGGAGGUGGCCAAAUGCUGGCCUUUUUAUAUUAAUCUGAUGUCUGUUUUCUUUUAAUAGCAGCAUUUUAACAAUGUAUUGCUAAUUUGUUUUGUAAAAUGUUCCAGAAUAACUUAUUAAUGAUUUUAAUUAUACCUAGUCAUUAUUUCAUAAAUAUUAAAACAAAGUAUGCAUAGAUUAUAUAUGAAUGCAUAAACUAAACAAGACCACAACUUGAAAUGGAUAAAUUCAGUGUUCUUUGGCUUUCACCCUUCCUCAAGGAAACAAAGCAAAUGUUAAUAUGGAAAAUUGUUAUUCAUUGACGUGGGAGCGGGGAAUGGAAAGCUAGGCUGAUUUCAUCAUAAUUGUUAGAGCAGACAAACAUCUCCCGACAUGCGUCCAAGUCCAAUUCUUCUAUUUUGGAAAAAUCAAGAAAACAACAUAAGGACUUUACAAUGCAUGACUGAACCUCAGCAGUGCCAACAAUACAAUUUCUUUUAUGUUUUGAAAAACAUGCCACCUUUACAAGUGGAAGGCAUCUUAUCCUUUUAAUUUUUUGUGUGUCAUAUACAUAAUAAUAUAGUGUGAGAGAGACAGGGGAGGGGGAGACGGAUGAUUUCUUUAGUUAAAUCUCUAUAGACUGAGCCAUGAACCAGGGGGAUUUGAGUCAAGAUGCGGAGCUCUAUCAGAUGUUUUUAGCCUUUCCAAACCACGUUGGGCCCCAUUGCUGCGAGAAAGAUGUCAUAUAAAAUAACUAAAUACCAAGGCAGAGACAUUUCCAGUUUUUAGAAAGGCCUCCUAAAUCAUCCUAAAACAACUGAGAGAGAUUGAUUGCCCCUCAUGGCCCCUAGCGGAUAUAAGGAGCCUUUGUAAACAAAUAGGAAAAAAUGGGGGGAGGAGGGGGUGACAGGAGAAGCAGGCAAUAUCACCCAUAAACCUCACUUUUCCCACAUCUGCUCUGCCAAACAUCCAUGGACAACCUGUGUAUAGUGUAAACACCCAUAUUUAUAUGCAAAUGAAAUCAUGGACUGAGGGCCGGGAUGACAUCUAUUGUCCCUCCUUCCACCCUCCACAUGUUCAUUGUCCUUUGAGUACUGGAGCCUAUUCAGAAACUCAUGGAUGGUGAUGGGACAAUGCAUAAAUUUUUACUACCUUUCUGAUUAAAAAAAAAAGUUUUUCCUCUCAAAUAUUAGAAUAGCUUCACUGCUUAAUGUUCUGCUUGGUGCACAAUAACUAUGUCCCACGAAGUCCUAUACGACUUUGUCCAAACUAUGUGAAAGAUUAUAUUUUCCCAUCUGACAUAUUCCUGUGUGGCAUGUGGGCAUUUUUCUGCUGUCAUCAUCAUUGGCUUCU
ensembl:lncRNA